rnacentral:tRNA from 1 species
CCCGACUUAGCUCAGCUGGUAGAGCGGCGGACUGUAGAGGGAAAGUACGGCACGUAAAUACCGCCGUAAUCCGCAGGUCUCUGGUUCAAAUCCGGAAGUCGGGA